CGCAUUCUUAGUGUAUAAAGGACUCAUGGAAAUCUGACUUUUAGAAUUUCAAAAUGAUGAAUGAGUCGCCGAUACGGCAUUCGAAAUUAUUAUCGCUCAUUUAUAUUCUGAAUUGUUGAAUGUGAGUGUGUUUAUCAGAUGCACUGCUUUUAAUUCGCUCGCGAACUUGCUACUGACAGUUUAAGUUCCAGUUAGGAAAGCAGAACAACCAAUGAACAAACCACUCCGUAAUGAUGGGCUCUUUUUAACGUGAACGACAAACCGUUAACUUAGUCGUAAGUGUUGCGGCGUCCUUUGUUUCAGUACUUGCAGAGGACAGUAUUGACUUAUUGAACCUUUGCUUAACGUCAAUGUUGAUGCACGUCAUUUGCGUGGCGGCGCUUUUAGUUACAGUUACACGCGUCACUUGCGUGACAGUGCUUUACGUUCCAGUUAGGUUCUUUAGCUAUUUUUGGAUGUGAUUGAUUUAGUACGUGCAGAGCGUGUGUGUGGAGUAGACAUUUUUUGCUGUCGUCUACAAAAAGAAAUUAUAAAGGCCUACGGUGUCGCGGGAUAGAUAUUUUACGAGAUCAAUUAAUAAAUGUGAUGUGAAAUUAUGUCGCUUCCGUCUCUGUAAAGUUCCACUCGUUCUGGUAUUUUUCUCCGGUCGCGAUCUUCUCGGCAAUACAUUCGGCCUUGAAGUUCGCCUGCCGUUACAGUCAACUUACGGUAAACACUACAAAUGGUGACACGGUACAGCUAUGGGGUCUCCAGUUUCUGUUCCUGUAGCAGAAAUUAUGAUGCAGAACAUUGAGGAUCGCGCCCUUUCGACUUGCCGACAAACGAUACCGCAUUGGCUACGCUACCUUGACAAACAGGGAGAGCGAUAAAGGUGCUCCUUGUUCAGCCAUCUUCUGCUACUUCAGAGAGUUUUUUAAUAUACUCACAGCCUCAUUCAAUGACCAGCAGGAGAGUGCACUGAGCAGAGAGCGACAAGCCAGACAAGCGGCCAAUUUUAGACUCUGUUGAGCGAGGUACAUUGCAAGAUAUGUCGAGGAAACAGGCCAAAGUGAAAUCAGGACAGAGCGUAUGAAUAGUGAUCUUCUGGAAUGCAAGAGAGAAGCGAAGGAUCUGAUAUCGUCUGUAGACCCUUCACGAAACGCUACCGGAGAGAAGAAGGGUUAUAUCGAAGUAAUGGCUGCAAUGAAACUACUAGAUAACGAGAGCUCGUUUGGCCUGCUCAACCUAUCACCAGACGUCCUACGAGGGCUACGUAACAAGCACCCAGAGGCGGCCAAUAUUGCAGAGGAGAGUUUGCUGCACGAUCCAGUUGAUUAUUUUCCACCAAACUUCUAUGAUCUCCUGAUAAAGAAAUGAUUUACAACUCAGCAAGCAGAACCAAGGGCUCAGCGGGGCCAUCGGGAAUGGACUCGAACCUUUAUAGGAGAAUCCUGUGCUCUAAGAACUUUAAGACUGAAGAGAAGAGAUAGCUAGGUUCACGAGAAAUCUGCUUAAGAACUCUUACCAUCCGUCUUUACUCGAAGCCUUUACAUCUUGCGGGCUCAUCCCGCUCGACAAGAACCCUCGAAUCAGACCAAUCGGUGUUGGAGAGGUCCUGAGACCAAUAGUGGGAAAAACAGUCAGCGGUUUCUUAAAUUACUUGCUGAUGUAAAAACUUCAAAUAGGAUUAGCGAAUUCAUUCGUAAGCUCAAGACUUUUGAUUUCAGCAAAUUAGGACCCAGCUGUGAGUGCAACUCCUGUUUUUAGUUAUUAUCGUCUAUAUGUACAUGUAUUUCUCAUAUUUCUCUCCUUACCAUGAGCUUUUCUUAGAUUUUUACUAGACAUUUUGACGCAUUUUUUUUUAUUUUUAAGCAUUUUAUCAUUAUUUUUGUAAAUACUUUUGGUGAUUAUAGUGAAUAAAGGGAGAGUGAUGAAAGAGAGAAUUAAAGAAUUUUAAAUAGA